UCACAGGCAUGAUGUGGAAAUGGAAAAA
rnacentral:piRNA from 1 species